GGAGGUGUGUUGCUCUGAUUGACCGCGGCUGACCCUUGGGACCCGUAAUCUGACCCUCCAUUCUUUGCAUUUUUACACACAAUGGCUCACAAGAAGAAAUCAUUCUCUCGCAAGUUAACCGUGAAGAGAAGAAAGCUCUUAGAAGGAAUUCGUAGAGCUAUAAAAGCGAAGAGGAAAGCAGCAGCGAGAGAGGCGGCGGCUGGAGCACGUGACGCCAUCACACUCCUCUUAAGACCAAACAUUGUUCACUGCUAGUGAACUAAUGGAUUUUUUCAGACGUAGAAUCGUCUGGUGGAGGACAUUAGAUGAUCAUUGAUGUCCUUACCAACACCUACUCAAAGGUUGGCAUGCAUGGAGCAUUGUGAUUGGCCGAUCUCCAGGGAACUUCAGGAUGCAGGGAUCUGCAUGGAACUUCAGGGAUAUACUCUAUACACUUGUUUCUGCUAUCAAUAAACAUAAGAAGGC